UACGUAGGGGGCAAGCGUUGUCCGGAAUCAUUGGGCGUAAAGAGCGUGUAGGCGGCCAGAUAAGUCCGCUGUGAAAUCUCGAGGCUCAACUUCGAGCUGUCGGUGGAAACUGUCUGGCUAGAGUCCGGAAGAGGAGAAUGGAAUUCCUGGUGUAGCGGUGAAAUGCGCAGAUAUCAGGAAGAACACCCGUGGCGAAGGCGGUUCUCUGGGACGGUACUGACGCUGAGACGCGAAGGUCAGGGGAGCAAACGGG
rnacentral:rRNA from 1 species